UACGUAGGUGGCAAGCGUUGUCCGGAUUUACUGGGCGUAAAGCGCGCGCAGGCGGGCUGGUCAGUCCGGGGUGAAAUCUCACGGCUCAACCGUGAGUGGUCCCUGGAUGCUGCCAGUCUUGAGGUGUCUAGAGGAGAGCGGAAUUCCCGGUGUAGUGGUGGAAUGCGUAGAUAUCGGGAAGAACACCAGUGGCGAAAGCGGCUCUCUGGGGACCACCUGACGCUGAGGCGCGAAAGCGUGGGGAGCGAACCGG
rnacentral:rRNA from 1 species